rnacentral:tRNA from 1 species
AGGAUUGUAGUUAACAAUAACAUUUGGUUUGCAUUCAAAAAGUACUGGUAUCUCAGUCAAUCUUA